UACGUAGGGGGCAAGCGUUUGUCCGGAUUUAUUGGGCGUAAAGAGCGUGUAGGCGGCCAGGUAGGUCCGUUGUGAAAACUCGAGGCUUAACCUCGAGACGUCGAUGGAAACCAUCUGGCUAGAGUCCGGAAGAGGAGAGUGGAAUUCCUGGUGUAGCGGUGAAAUGCGCAGAUAUCAGGAAGAACACCCGUGGCGAAGGCGGCUCUCUGGGACGUGACUGACGCUGAGACGCGAAAGCGUGGGGAGCAAACAGG
rnacentral:rRNA from 1 species